rnacentral:rRNA from 1 species
UACGGGGGGAGCAAGCGUUGUUCGGAUUUACUGGGCGUAAAGGGCGCGUAGGCGGCGCAACAAGUCACUUGUGAAAUCUCCGGGCUUAACUCGGAACGGUCAAGUGAUACUGUUGUGCUAGAGUGCGGAAGGGGCAACUGGAAUUCUCGGUGUAGCGGUGAAAUGCGUAGAUAUCGAGAGGAACACCUGCGGCGAAGGCGGGUUGCUGGGCCGACACGUGACGCUGAUGCGCGAAAGCCAGGGGAGCGAACGGG